UCUUCCGCAAUGGACGAAAGUCGGACGGAGCAACGCCGCGUGAGUGAUGAAGGGUUUCGGAGCGUAAAACUCUGUUAUUAGGGAAGAACAAAUGCGUAAGUAACUGUCCGCAUCUUGACGGUACCUAAUCAGAAAGCCACGGCUAACUACGUUCCAGCAGCCGCGGUAAUACGUAGGUGGCAAGCGUUAUCCGGAAUUAUUGGGCGUAAAGCGCGCGUAGGCGGUUUCUUAAGUAUGAUGUGAAAGCCAACGGCUCAACCGUGGAGGGUCAUUGGAAACUGAGAAACUUGAGUACAGAAGAGGAAAGUGGAAUUCCAUGUGUAGCGGUGAAAUGCGCAGAGAUAUGGAGGAACACCAGUGGCGAAGGCGACUUUCUGGUCUGUAACUGACGCUGAUGUGCGAAAGCGUGGGGAUCAAACAG
rnacentral:rRNA from 1 species